AAAUUUGAAGUGCCCACUUCACCCGUGGCUGCAGGAGAGGAGGGGGGGAAGCAACCGAGGAGGAAGGAGGAGACUCGAAUGUCCUGACCACCCCAGUACCAACCAAGCCGGCCUGGGAGAUCCCGGUGGCAGCGCUGAGGCCCAAAAUGGACCACGGCCUGAUUUCCAAACCUCCGAUUGGCUCGGCUUCUCCGAGGAUACCAGAAGAAUGAAGACUGCCUUGAGAGAAGACCUUCCAUCUGGAUCGGGCGGCAAGUGGUGGAUAAAGGGAAAACCCUUUUAGGCCCCUAGCUGACCCCUCCAGCUGUAUCCCAGGUCUUUGGGGCCAGGAAGAUGGAGGAGAAAAAUAGUUUCCUUCAGGCAAAGAAUCUCCUGCUUUUAUUUAUCCACUUAAGGUCUUCAUGGCCUGAAAGGAGCCUAUGGGGGUAAAACAGAAUUUUCUUUUAGGCAAAAAAUCUCUGGGUUAUUUGAUGACUUAAGGAUUUAGGGGCUUUCAAAGAAAAUACAUGAGGAGCGAGAGGAGAGCUGUCCUUUAUGGCGAAGCAUCUCCCGUGUCUUAGUCAAUCUCAGGUUUUCAAGGCUUAGAAGAGAACAUUUGCAGUGACAAUGGACAAAUUGGCUUUAGGCAUGCCAGCUCCAGCUUUAAUUUCUCCAAGGUCUUCAAGGCUUCCAAAGAGAACAUUUGAGGCUUCGAUGGAGAAAUUGGCUUCAUGCUAUUCAUCUCCUAAUUUGAUUUCUUUACCGAAGGUGUUCAAGGCCUUCAAAGAGAGUCACUGAGGCUGGAAUGCAGAAAUUUGCUUCAUGCCAGCCAUCUCCCGCUUUCACUUCUCAACCUAAAGUCUUCAGCCCAAAAAAGAGAAUAUAAAAGAGAAAAGGACAAGUUUUCUUCAUGGAAACAAUCUCCUGCUGCUGUUUCUCCCCUUGAGAGCCAGAAAAGGCAAUCCAUGAGUUUCAUCAAGGAGCAAACCCUCUCCUGCUGACCUGUCUAAGGUCUUCAAGACCUGAAGAGAAAAUAUAUGAAUGGAGAAGGAGACAUUUGCUUUGUGAAGAAACAUCUUUCUGUGUUGAGCCCUUCAACGUAGAGUUGAGAUGACAAAGGAGGCAGUGGAGGUAGCCCACCUGGACUGCAGUAAAGAGAAUAGAUUCCUCGCCGCAGUCUAACUGGUUCCAUGCAAAAAUCUAAGUUUGCAUCCUCCUGAGCCCUCUUCAGGCUCCACCCCUGGUCUUUAUGGCCUGGGGUUUGGGAGAGAGCAAGGAGGUAGGAAUGGAGUGAAGAGUUUCCUGCUAAUUCCCCCUAAUAAUCCCGGAAAGGGUUUUCCCUUUAUCCUACCACUCUGCCUUCUCAACCUCGGACCAAGUUACCAAGCCCCUCUGGGCUGUCUGACCAGGGCCAGGCUCCGCCACUCGAGAAAGGCUCCGUUUCCUCCAUAGAAAGUUCAGCUUUUGAAGAAUAGAGGAUGAAGGAGAAUCGACUGAUCAUGGGGUUUGGAGAAAGUCCGGCUACUGGUUAAGGGGCAACUGUUCUGGACCCAAGGCUCAGUCUCGACCCUCUGGUCCAGGCUCUUGGAGGGUGAUAGAAGAAAAUUUGAGGUGGAGGAGGAGGGAGGGAUUUGGCAUCAUGCCCAGUUCUUGAAAAACAUAGCUUCAUGUCAAACUCAGCCUCUCCUCUGCUGAUCUCCUGCCUUGGGCCUUCAAGGCCCAGGGGCGAGUAGGGAGAAAGUAGCUUCAUGUAAAAAUGUCUUGUUGGCUACAUUGUCUCCCAUCCUGGCUACUCCGGUCUUUGUGGUGGGUGGUGGGAACAGUGGGACGGGGGGGACCCCCCAGACAAACUCUUCAGGUGGCAAGUGGGAGAUUGUCUUUUUGCACAAGCUCCUGGAAAGCAUGCUCCAGCCUCCCAAGAACUCUCCCAAGUUUGGUCUUUAUGGCUGCACUUCUGGACCAAGAGAUUUUCCCCAUAGACAAUCUGGGAUAUUUCUCUCGUGAGCUUUGGAUUUUCAGAGAGGUUAGAGCUGCUCGAAUUGCUCCGUGUUGGUUCAGUUUUCCUGUGAAUAAGUCAUCCGGCACUGUAGGGAAAUACCUUUCGAGAUUCUAUAGUGUUAUGUCAGGAUUGAUUACAAUCGCAAAACUGUUUGAGGAAAGCCCAACAGAGUUAAGUCCUUGUCCUUCUCUAAAUCCUGGUUGACCAGCUCAAUGUUCAAUGGAAUGGUAUUUUUCUCUCACCCGGUUGACAGGAAACAACUAGAAGACCUAGGAAGUCCAUCGCGCCAGCAUUUCACAAGUCAAUAGAAUAGCUAAAUAAAAUUAAAGUAAAUAUAAAAUGCAACUCCGGGUAGCACAAUAAAAUACAAUAAAAUAGUUUAAAAUAAAAGUAAAUACUAAAAUCAUUACCAUAUAAAAUAAUGACAUAUAAAUGCACACAACACUCAUUCCAUUGAAUGUAGACGUCUGGGGCAUCUGAGGAUCAAAAAACCAAAAUUGUGUGCAUCGGAAGACCGAAAAUGGCGAGGUUUAUCUCUCUGGCUUUAAUAAUGGGAUCUGAUGAAUGGCUUUAUAACCGCAAACUGACUCUAACACUAUAGACCCACCCAGAAACUUUGAGGGAAAAUUGAGUCCGAUUUCCAGGGAGUUUCACCGGGCGCGCUAUGUUUCUGAAUGUCACGUGGAGUAUUUUGUCCUCAACAUUUUGAUUCUGUACAGAUUUUGGGGACUGCUUCUCUAGGCUGGAUCUUGCCUCUCUAUGGUAGGCCCCGGUAGGAACUGAGGUAAGUGUGGUCCCGGAGGGGAAAUGGACUAAUUCCCGGGAAGGGUGGGUUAAAGGGCUAUCCUCAGGGUGGCCCCAGGAGGUGGCAAGUGUUGACUCGGUGAAUGU